rnacentral:tRNA from 1 species
GCGGGUGUAGCUCAGCGGUAGAGCACCACGUUGCCAACGUGGCUGUCGUGGGUUCGAUUCCCAUCACCCGCUC